rnacentral:rRNA from 1 species
ACAGAGUUCUGCUAGUGGCAGACGGGUGAGUAGUACAUGGGAAUCUACCUUGCAGUGCGAAAUAACAGUUGGAAGCAAUUGCUAAUGUCGCAUAUAGCCGAGAGGUGAAAGAUUUAUCGCUGCAAGACGAGCCCAUGCAGGAUUAGCUAGUUGGUGAGGUAAUGGCUCACCAAGGCAACGAUCUUUAGUUGGUCUGAGAGGAUGAUCAGCCACACUGGAACUGAGACACGGUCCAGACUCCUACGGGAGGCAGCAGUGGGGAAUAUUGGACAAUGGGCGCAAGCCUGAUCCAGCGACGCCGCGUGAGUGAAGAAGGCCUUCGGGUUGUAAAGCUCUUUUAGUGGGGAAGAUAAUGACGGUACCCACAGAAAAAGCCCCGGCUAACUUCGUGC